rnacentral:rRNA from 1 species
AUUGAACGCUGGCGGCAUGCUUUACACAUGCAAGUCGAACGGCAGCACGGGGGCAACCCUGGUGGCGAGUGGCGAACGGGUGAGUAAUAUAUCGGAACAUGUCCGGAAGUGGGGGAUAACGUAGCGAAAGUUACGCUAAUACCGCAUAUGCCCUGAGGGGGAAAGGGGGGGAUCGCAAGACCUCACGCUUUCGGAGUGGCCGAUAUCAGAUUAGCUAGUUGGUGGGGUAAAGGCCUACCAAGGCAACGAUCUGUAGCUGGUCUGAGAGGACGACCAGCCACACUGGGACUGAGACACGGCCCAGACUCCUACGGGAGGCAGCAGUGGGGAAUUUUGGACAAUGGGGGCAACCCUGAUCCAGCCAUGCCGCGUGAGUGAAGAAGGCCUUCGGGUUGUAAAGCUCUUUCGGACAGAAAGAAAUCGUGCAGAAUAAUACUCUGUAUGGAUGACGGUACUGUAAGAAGAAGCACCGGCUAACUACGUGCCAGCCGCCGCGGUAA